CUAGAAAUUUUAGAAUGUCACCUGGAAUGUUAGGAUUUUUGUGAACGGCUGGGAGUGAUUUCUUCUUUCUAUUUUUGCCUGCUAGCUGCUGUGAUUGGAACCAGGCUGCAUGCUGCUGUGGCAAUCGCUUGCAUCGUAAUGGCCUUUUAUGUCUUGUUUGUAAAAUGAAUUACAAAAUACCCAACUCAUCAACUGCCAACCAAGGGGACAGGGGUGAAGAACCUGUUGGAGGCCUGGACCCAGUGUAGGAGAGUUCAGCCAAAAACAUCAAUGUCCCCAAGGUGACAUCACAGCAUCUGCCCCUGCCAUAUGUGAGGAAAACUACUUGUGGUCACGGAUGUUAUUUAUGCUUUAGGGGACUCCAGAAAGCCAACUUCCUUUGAUCUGUGUGUAAAUUGGCUCUCAGCAGUGAACAUAUAAUGUCCAGUUUAAUUACACCCAUCAAUGAUAAGAUUAUAUACCUCCUGCUUUUUAAAAACCUGUCACCUGGGCUAGGGUUGAGCUCAGUGGUACAAUAUUUGCUUAGCAUGUGUGAGGCCCUGGAUUCAAUUCUCAGCACUGCAAGAAAACAAAAAUAACACCAACAUGUCACCUGUUUUGUUCUUCAACCCCGCAUCAGGAUCUUUUCAAACUGAGGCUUAUAGGGAAGGACAUAGGCUGUGUUCAGACCUCUUGAAAGGAGAGAUAAUUUUCAAGACUUGACUUUUUUUCACUGUUUAAUAUGGUUUUGGCAAAUUGGGGAGGGAGGGUACCAGGUGGGAAAAAGGAGUUAUGAAAGGCCAGGAAAUUGCUUGGUUUUAGAAAAUUGUCUUUUAUCUACUUACCUGGGAACAUGAGAGAGAGGCAUGGCUCUCAUUGCAAAAAGAGAAUAGAUGAAGCAGCUUGGUGUGUGCUGAGAGCUUGAGUUUUGCCAAGAGAAUCUGAGCUCAUAUAAAAAUCCAGAAAUUAACCAUCUGUGAUGAGACUAAAGAGCAGUGAUUAAGACAAGAAAACACUUCCUGUUCACCUGUAUCCCCAAAAGAAGACUUUACUCAAUCAAAUGGUAUAUGAAAAAUGAAUCAGCUGUUGCUAUUUCCUAAGGCUUUUUUAUAUUUUCUAACUUAGUGCUAAAUACUGUUACUCAGUUUUAAAUGCUACCACUAGGGGAAAAAGAAACGGUUGAAGAAAUAAUUGUUUAAUAUAUUUGCAGUUAGAGGAGAAGAUAUAAAUUAGCAUAUUAAUUCAUAUACUAGUGAAUUCAUCUAGUAUAAGAAUUUAUUGUGAUAUUAUAUGGAAGUGUUCUCAUGUUAUAAAAGAUUUAUACUUAGUCUUUGUGUUAUGGCAAUUUUUAGUUGACUACCUGUUUUCUUGGCCAACUGCAUUUUCUUUAUAUCACAGUCUUUUUCAUUGUUUCUGGAAAUUAUUUACUGGGGAAACAUGAGAAAUUCAAACGAGAAGUUGGUGAUAUUCGUUGGCAUGUUUGGACAGUUCAUAGACUCCAUUAGUGAAAUAAGAAUGUUUUCUAAAGUAAAGGAGAAUAGAACUUUACAAUUCAGAGAAAAGAGCUUUUUCAUUGACUAUGGCAAUUCCUGAGCAAAUCUUUUCAGAUGACAACAUUUUCAGGAAAGACUUUUCUGCUCCCUCCUCAUAUAUGCAGAAUCAGCUGUUGGAUUUGUGAAGCUAAGAACUUCUGUAUAUGAAAAAAAGUCUAAAACUAAAUUAUAGUAAGCAAGCAUAGAUAAAGAUCUUCCAGUUGAAUUGUCCAUUACAGCAAAACUUGACUGUGGACAAAGUUAGCUGUGGAUAUCUCCUGUAUGGCAAUAAAUUAAUUUGUCUUUUGUCUGUUUUCUAUAAAAGAUUAAAAGCUGCUAGGAAGUUUAGGUUCUACUAUAUGCAGUUUCAUGCUUUGAGGGAUCCUACAAGUACAGACAUCAUCAAGUAAACACUACAUGUCUAAUCAUCUCAGAGUUGUGGCUGUUAUCUCUUCAGGGAUUGGUCCACAGGAUAAAUUUCAGUUAUUCAUGUUUCCAAUUGUCAUUUCUGGAAUCUUUCAUAUGAGAAAGGAAUAGAAAAGAAAAGUUACAUCAUAUGGUGUGAAUUUGGAAUCUGUUGGUCAUAGGGAAUGUCUCCCUGGGAACAGGUUCAGCAUGUUUUGCACUUGUUAUUUGGUAGCUUUAAUGACUUGUUUUCUAAUAGGGCUAAUGUCUCUAAGUUUGGUGCUUAGAGCUGCUUCAUAUUUUAAACUAGUUCCAUUCCACAUUGUAGUUCAACCAAUUUUUAUAACUGCCUGGGUGGGUCAUGUUGGCCUAGACUCUUUGAGUGGUGAUAUUUUGAGAUUUUUCAUUCCAGAAUGUACCAAAAAGUGUACAAGGUGAAGAUAAUUUACAGCAAGAAACAAAUACACAGCCUAUUUCAUUUCUUGAUUUUAUAUAAACAGAAAAACAGAAACUUUAACUCAUUACUUUGGUUGAUAUGUCAUACUAUUUUGGCUAAAAAUUAUAAAAAUUGUUCCUCUGGGGAAGUCUUAGGGGUGGGGGCAUGAGGAGAGCAAUAUUGCCUCAAAUUCAACUUGGUAUCACCAUAAACCCUGUGUACCAGGGUAGAAUGAAGUCAGCUCCUUUUUAUAGUUGAAAUACAGUUUUUUUUAUUCAUCAAUAUCUGCACAAAUCCUUGAAAAUAAAAUUUCUUUCCCUACAAUAUUUGUCCAUUUUAUUUGAC
rnacentral:lncRNA from 1 species